ensembl:lncRNA
ACUUUUUAAUCAAAGAACCCUGUUUUUUAUUCUCUGCCUUCGUGCCUAAAAAAUAAAUCUAUUCGGCGUUUUUUUUUCACAGACUGAAUGACCUCAUCAAUUUGACCACGCCCCUUUCCGUUUGUCACGUCUGUCCUGAGUUGUUGGGUUUGUUGCUUUCAUGUUGCUCGACUACAACCAGGAAGUAAAUGCAGGAUUAUGUCACAUGAUCCGGUCAGCGACGUUAUUGAUAUUAUUUAGAAUACAUCUGACAUAUACAAAUAACAAACCCGAGAAUUCAGUAGAGAAAUAUUCAGAACAGCAAGUAAGAAAAUGCCAGCUUCUUAUUUUUCAUGAUUGUAUCAUUUAUCAAGCUCAAAACUUCACACUCAUUGAACGCUUCCGUUAGUUUUAACCCUUUUGGCAGAGCUUUACUCUGAAUGUCUUGGUAGUUUCCUGUCAGGAGCCACUAAAUAUGGACGUGUAUCACAGUGCGUUCUGGGAGGUGCCCUUGAUUCGCUGACGGUGUCAGAAGGCUUUUUGUUGGGUGCAAUAUUGUGUUUCUGAUUAAUGUUUUAUUACCAUUAAAAUGUUUGUCUUCACUUAUAAAUAAUACGCCUUGUUAAGAAGUUUCAUGAACACGUGAAUGUUUAUGAGCAACACAUUAAUAAAUGUUUGAACUCAUUUUUUGUUUAGUAAUAUUCAGAAGGUCAAAGGUCUUCAGCAUCUUCAAAGGUCAAGACCUUUGACCUCCUUCACCACCUUUGACCCAAAAGCUUUGGUGAGAGGAAGUGAAUUUCAUCACGCUGAGUUUGUGUUGAGGAGCAUUCUGGGUAAUGAGGUACUCAUUGAACUCCACAGUAUUAUUGUUAAAGUAGCAUUUGGACUCACUGGCUGACUCCGUCCUGCUGGUCCUCCGUUCUGUCUCCUCGCUGUCCCACAGUGUCUCUACACUAUCCUGUCCUAAACCCCUUUGCCGUCCCCAGUGUCAUGGUGACUGUCCUCCGUCCCCAGUGUCAUGGUGACUGUCCCCCGUCCCCAGUGUCAUGGUGACUGUCCCCCGUCCCCAGUGUCAUGGUGACCGUCCUAGUUGGCGUCUCACUGUAUCUGUCAGCUUCUCCUUCCCUCGGUUGAAUUGUAACAUCUACAGCGAGAUAUUAAUACAUUUAUGUAUGACGUGAAUGUUGGACAAUACUUUUCCAUAAACACAACUAAAACUAUGACUUUACAUUUUGUUUAGCUAAGGCUUAGAAUAAACAAAGAACACUUGCUACUAGAGUUUCCCUGUUUUUUAUAUUAUGUAUAUAUAUAUAUAUAUUAAUUCAACUCUACAUUGUUAAUGCCAUGUAUGCACCACCCACCAUGACAAAUUCCUUGUAUGUCCAACAUACCCAGCAAAUAUAUGUUUAUUCAUAAGUAUUUACCCCCUUUACUGUAAAACUCCUCAUAAAGAUCUGGUCACAUAAUUAGCAGAUAGGGUCCACCGGUCUGCUAUUUAAUCUCAAGAUAAAUGCACGUGAUCUGUGAAGGCCUCAGAGUCUGUUAGAAAGGGUUACUGAACAAAGAGCAUCACGAAGACCAAGGAGCUGACCCAAGUAUGAAGCAGGGUUAGCUUCUAAAAAACCAUUCCAAGCUUUGAACACUUAUAAAAUCCAUCAUCAACAAAUGGAAAGAAUAUGGCACAACCACAAAGCCACCAAGAGAAGGCCGUCCACCCAAACUGACCGCAAGGAGAAGAUGAAUCAGAGAAGCAACCAAGAGGCUCAAACUGUGGAGGAGCUGCAAAGACACCACCCAUCACCCUGAGCACACCACCCCAACGGGGAAACAGGGUGGUGGUAGCAUCAUGCUGUGGGGAUGCUUCUCUUCAGCAGCUACAGGAAACUAGUCACUGUGAGGGGAAGAUGGAUAGAGACAAAUACAGGGCGAUCCUUGAAGAAAAUAUGAUGCAGUCUGUAAAAGACUUGAGACUUCCAGCAGGACGAUGACCCUCAACAUACAGCAGCGCCACAAUCAAUAGUUUAGAUCAAAGCAUGUUCAUGGUUUAAAGAUUCCCAGUCAAAGAACACACCUCAAUCCAAUUGAGAAUCUAAGGCAAGAUUUGAAAACUGCUGUUCUGAUGCUCUCCAUCCAAUCUGACUGAGCAUCAAGAAGAAUGGAGGAACAUGUGCAAAGCUGGUGGAGACAUUCCCCAAAGGACCUGCAGCUGAAGGUGCAGAGAACCUUCUACCAAGUUUUGAACGGGGACACACGCAUUUAUUUGUCGUUAUUUGUGUCACAAUAUAAAGUAUUUGAUGCCCUCGGAGUACUUUGCAUGUUGUGUUGAUCAAAUGGGAAAAUUCUAUUUUUUUUUCUAAAAUUCUACGUCGUGACGUCAUCGUGUGCAUUCAUCGGCCAUCCGCUCACAGACGACGUUGACGGAGGAAGCCACAUCCGGGUAUGUAGCGCUGCGUCCUCUCCUCCAUCUCCCGCUGCAUCCUCCACCCUGCAGAUAAACAGGAGGACAGACGGACAGACAGACGGACAGACAGACAGACAGCUGGAUCUCUUUCGGCUUCAGGUUCGUUUUCUUCUUUCUCGUGAUCGUAAUUUCAGAUCGGUCCGUUUCUCUUUAACUGACGACAGACAGACAGAGAGACAGACAGAGAGACAGACAGAGAGACAGACAGAGAGACGGGGAGAGAGACGGGGAGAGAGACAGGGAGCGAGACAGCAAAGAGACAGGGGCGAGAGACAGGCAGAGAGACAGGGCGAGAGACAGCAGAGAGACAGACAGAGAGACAGCAGAGAGACGGGGAGAGAGACAGCAAAGAGACAGGCAGAGAGACAGGGCGAGAGACAGCAGAGAGACAGGGCGAGAGACAGGCAGAGAGACAGGGCGAGAGACAGCAGAGAGACAGCAGAGAGACAGGGAAAGAGACAGCAGAGAGACAGGGGAAAGAGACAGCAGAGAGACAGGGCGAGAGACAGCAGAGAGACAGGGAAAGAGACAGCAGAGAGACAGGGGAAAGGCAAUACAAACAUGAACUAAUAUUUGUUAAAUGUUUAUUUAGUUUCUAAAUAAUUAACAUGACAAUUGUCCCUCACAACUUGUUUACUAAUGACCAGACAAUAAUAUCAAUCAGAAUACUAUUACUGAUCAUAUUGUAGUAGUGUAUAUUAUUGAUCAUUUUGUUGUCAAUAAUAUAAAUAUGAUCAAUGAUAAGAUUUAUCUUCAAUAUCAAUAAUAGUGUAAAUAUUUUUAUUGAUAUAAUCACAUCACAUGUCAUUUAUCUGACGCUUUUAUCCAAAGCAACUUACAAUAAGAACAUUUAACCAUAAGGACACAAACUCAGAAGAACAAGAAACAAGAAAGUGUGAUUUCAUAAAUUAAACCGAUAUGAUAUCUGUUAUCUAUAGCAAGUUGUAUAAGUCCAAUGUCAGUGCUGCAGUCAGUUAGUGUGUUAGUGGAGGUAGAGUGUGAAGAGGUGUGUCUUUAGUCUGAAGAUGUGAAGGCUCUCUGUGGUCCUGAUGUCUUCAGAGACCUCCUUCCACCAUUUAGGAGCAGGACAGCAAAGAGUGGAGAUCUAGUCGAGUGUUUUGCUCUCAGUGAGGAGGAACAAGCAGUUUAUCACAUGCAGAGAGGAGAGGUCAGAGGUCGGGAUGUCGGGUUGGACCAGGUCCUGGAUGUGAGCUGGACCCCAUCCAUUCACAGCAUGGUACGUGAGCACCAUGUUUAGAACUGGAUGAGCCACCGGUACCAGUGAAGAGAGCGGAGGAGUGGAGGAGUGAGGGAGAACUUAGGAAGGUUAAAGACCAGUGGAGCUGCUGCAUUCUGGAUGAGCUGCAGAGGUGGAAUGGUGGUAGCAGGAGACCUGCAGGAGAGAGUUACAGUAGUCCAGGAGGGAGACGACAAGAGCCUGAAUCAGUACCUCCUUCUGAGUGAGAAGAGGACGUGUUCUCCUCAUGUUGUAGAGCGAGUAUCUACAGGAUGGUGUUGUCAGUGAUGUUGGAGUCAGGGAGAGUCGGCUGUCGACGUCACGCUGAGGUUCCUGCAGUCAAAGUGGACGUUAACACGGAGUCUCAAAGUUAACAGUCAGGUCCUGUGUAGGAGAAUCUUUUCCCAGAAAGAGAAGUAGUUCCGUCUUGUCGGGGUUGAUUUUCAGAUGGUGGGCGGAUCCACUGAGAGAUGUCAGUCAGACAGGCAGAGAUCCGAGUGAGGGAAGGAGAGGAUUAGUUGGUGUCAUCAGCAUAGCUGUGGUAGGAGAAGCCAUGCGAGCGAAUGACAGCGCAGAGAGAGUUGGUGUAGAGCGAGAAGAGGAGGAGACCCAGGACGGAACCCUGAGGAACUCCAGUAGUAAGAGGACAAGGUUCCGACACAGAUCCUCUCCAGGUUACUCGGUAGGUGCGUCCGUCGAGGUAGGACGAGAGAAGGGAGAGAACAGAGCCUGAGACACCAAGUUCCUGAAGGGAGGAGACAAGGGUCUGCUGGUUGACUGUGUCAAAUGCAGCAGAGAGGUCCAGAAGGACGAGGACAGAGGAGAGAGAGGAGCUCUAGCAGUGUGGAGCUGCUCUGAGACAGCGAGGAGAGCAGUCUCUGUGGAACGGCCUUGAAGCCUGACUGGUGGGGGUCAAGGAGGUUGUUAUGGUGGAGAUAAGAGGAGAGCUGGUUAAAGAUCACACGUUCAAGGGUUUUGGGCAAUCAGGGAAGAAGAGAGACCGGUCUGUAGUUGUGUUCUUCAGACGGGUUGAGGGUGGGUUUCUUCAGGAGAGGGUUGACUCUUCUCCUUCAGAGAAAACAUCCAGAUAACAGAGCGUUGUUGAUGAGACAGGAUCUGGAAUGACCGUUAAUUGACAAGCAGGCAGGCAGGAGACAAACUAAUAAGAUGGAGAAUUCGUGACAGAGCUGAUAGAGGAGGAACAGAGGAGGCCGGAGAGGGAGAGAGGGAGGGAAUGUCUCGACGGACUGUUACAGAGUUAGUUCAUGGGUCGCUAGUUAUAGAAAGUGGGAGAUGAAGGAGUGGUGGUAUUGAUUAUAUUUGUAUGAAUAAUAAUAUCAGUAAUAAUGUAAUACUGUAAAAGUAGC